UUUCUAGACUCCUUGAACACUCACCACCAAUCCCUUCCGUCCCUGCAAGCGCGGAUUCCGCAAGCUCUCGUUCCGUCCAGAGUCCCAGGAGUUGAGGGGGUCCCGGGACCCGAUAUCAAUACCACCUGCCUUGGACUCUUGGGGCGCUCGCAGCCUCUGGCGGCCGUGCUGGAGAGGUCCAGCCCAGGACUCCCUCCCUAGCCCGCUGUGCGGACUCUAAUCGGUCUCCGGGUCUGUAACACGGGUCUUUCCUGUUAUUUCAAACUAGAAAUUUCGCCGGUUUGCACGGAGGCUGGGGAUGUGACUCAGUCGGGAGAGCGCUUGCCAACACGUAUGGAGCCCUAGGUCACAGACGGAGGUUGUCGUUGGAAUUCCAGAGACUGAAGCUGGACCUGUGCGGGGCUCUCUUCUUUAAUUCCAUCACUUGAGAGGCGGAAGCAAGUUUCAGGAUAUCCGCGGCUACACAGAGCAAACCUGCCUCUAAAAACAAAAGCUAAACCCAAACAACAAAGGGAUCCCAAAGAAUAAAGACUGGUGAUAGGCCUUCAAGAUGGCUCAGAAUGGCGCUUUCUGGCAAAUCUCGAGAGCCUGAGUCCCAUGAGGUAGAAGGAGAGAACCAGCUCUGUCCUCUGACCGCCACAUGAGGGUCGUUGCCCUCCCAGUAAUAAGAAAGUAAGGAAAUGCAAUAAAGAUUCAAAGAGUC